ensembl:lncRNA
CCACCAACGUGGUACAAAUAGAAAGAAAAUACAUCUCAUCCCCCAUUAACUAAGGGCGCAGCCAUCUUCUUUGCGAGUUGUACAGCUCUGCUCGCUCUACUUUGAAAGCGACGAGAUACUACGACCAAAAGGGGGCGUGCCUCAGUGAAAUGCCGCAAGAAAGCUGGGAGAUUUGCGACUUUACCACUUCGUAAAUCCAAAUGGAUAGCAGCAUUACUCAUGGCCGAUCAGUGUGUUCUUUCUGAUUAGCUCUUAAUUGAGAUCACCUGUCACGCACCCCUUUAUUAAAGGUGAACACAAUUGGUUUGGUUUACUUUUCGCAUCGGCCUCUGUCAAUCGAGGUUGAGUUUAGUGAGGGUUGAAAGUUUUCGAUCUAGAUUGCAUAUCACUAUUGUCACUUUAUACAAACUGAAAGUAUGCGUUGUUGCGUGUUUGUUUUUGUGGGCAUUUGACUGAACAGCCCAGACAAAUAUUGCUACCAACAUGGCACUUCGAAACAGACCACCGCAGUGUUAGAUGACUGACAAGAUCUAUGGGGGGGCCCCCUUUGGGCCCCCCCAUACCAACUUAGUCUUCAAAGGAAUCUAGUGCCAUGGGACUCCAGUGUCUUCAAAACAUCCUCGGAAUACAUGUGUAUGAAUGGUCCACCGAAGGGUUGAUCUGGAAGCCACCAAGGUCCACGCAGUAAUCUGCUGCGUGGGCCGUAGUGGCUUCCAGAGCCAUCUUUCGGUCUUGGUCAGGAUUUGUUGCAGUUGCCCUUCAAUGUAGCAGGCUACGGGUUUCUGAAGAAGCCUGCUUUACGUAGCAUUGGAGUACAAAUAUUGUGCAAAAUGCUCAUGUAAUUGCACUAGCACUGGUAACCUGUAGAUAAGCUUAGUUUAACGUCAUUCGGUGCUGUCUGUCAUAUGUGUGGCUUACUUUAAGUCCACAAGGCCCUCUGGUAAACCACGUUGGAACACCCCUGGACAAGGUGAUUAGUCACUGGGUGUGUGCUAAAGUUUUGUUCCAUUUUUCACUAGUUGGUUAAGGUUUGGUUGAAUUGUUUGGAUGCUAGCGACGUGAUGGCGUAUGUACAAGAGCCUACCGUGGCCAGGCCACAGUUGACGGCCACGGCCAGAUGGCCUAGUGUGAGUGCAACCUUGAUUGCAUUUGUAUACUGUUUACCAUUGGAUGUUUAUGCAAUUUGGCUUAAUUUAUCCGCUGUAAAGCUGCAUUUGACUAUUCCAGGGUUGUUUUGUACAGGGUUUCAAUUGAAAACACUAGCUUCAGCAUUUCCUUGUAGGUCAUUAGCUGACUUGUGUAUUGGAGCAAUGAUUUGGGUAUUUUAAGAUGCUUGAAAACCUCAAAUAAAGCAAAAUGCGUGUCUGGUGUGCAAGAGCCAAUUUGUUGGCUUGCAGUAGUCGAGGAGUUGCCGUAGGUCGUAAGCCAUCUGGAGGUUGUGGCAAUGAAGCAUGAUUAAUAGUUUAGUAAAUUGAUCUACUCGUAUAGAACUAUAAAUCCAAGACUGCAGCCAGUAACUUGGAUCGCAAUGUGUGGAAAGUAUUAGUCUUCAUUUGUAACAACAGAAUAAUUAACAUGACUAACUGGGUUUCUUCCAUUUUCUAACUAGGGGGACUUGACUGGUGAGUCUACUGGAUUAAUCAGUAGCGGUACUUUGCCCAACAGAUUUGAUGGCAUGACCACAGGGUGACAAAGACAAUUAUUCCCUGCCUAUCGAAAGAGACUUCUAAUCUGCUAGAACAGUUCCUAUACUUUUUGUAUAAUUUGGUCAUGCUGCAAAUUUACUUUUUGUAGUUGCUCCAUAUUUAGUUCUUUGACAGCCUCACCUAGAAAAGUCUAUUCAAAUCAGCUAAAUAUAAUGAACUCAAUUAAUAGCCAUGAAAUGUUGUCACUCAUACUAAUGGCAAAUACCCCAUUUCAGUUGGUGGUUCAACACUGAUGUCUCUCUAGGCUUGAGGGAGAGCUUACAAGUAAAUUACACAAAUCUCCUGGAGCAAUUGGGAAAACACUUUUAUUUAGUCUACCUGACCAGGGACAUCUUUGAACUAUAGGUCACCUAACCCAAACUUUUCACUCUUGUUAGAUUGUCUUUUUCUCUUGUUUUAACCCGAAAGGGCUGAAAAUAUCAACAUUUCAGGUAUUCUGUUUGGAUAAUGUGCAAAACUUGUGGCUUCACUAAUAAAAAAAAUUAACGAAUGUAUUUUUCUUAAUGUGGUUAAACUAUUUAAAGAUUUGUAUGCAAAAUAUUUCUGCUCAAUUUGUGGUCAAAGAAACUCAAAUUUUUUAAUUUGCUAAAACACAACUAUGGGUUAAAGGUAUUUGCUUUGGGCAUCUUUUGAUAUUUUUAUAAUCUAGCUCCAUUGCCGUUAGAAAUGGUGUCUCCCAGUACUGCAAAGUGCUUCCACAAGUUUAAAAAAGAAUGGGCAGAAAAGGAACUGCCAACUAAAUCUAUUUGACAUGGGUAGAAAGCCUAAUGUACUCACCUUCCACUCAAACUACUGCAAUUAAAUGCCAGGCUUUGUCCUUUCUGACAUUGUUCUUAUAAAAAGGAUGAUUUGAGACCCUUGACCCUUGGGGGGCGCGCCCCACUCUUCAGGGGGGGCGCGACGUGAG